rnacentral:rRNA from 1 species
AAGAAGGCCUUCGGGUUGUAAAGCACUUUUGUUCGGAACGAAACGCCAAAGACGAAUAAUCUUUGGUAAUGACGGUACCGGAAGAAUAAGCACCGGCUAACUACGUGC